CAAAAUAGAGCUUGAAUAAGCAUUUCACUUACAUUGAAAAGAAGUCGUGAAAUUCGAUUAUUUUGA
rnacentral:tRNA from 1 species